rnacentral:lncRNA from 1 species
GGCCAUUUUAAAUUGACGAGGAGUCCUUGGACCCCACCUGCACAAAUACACCUGGCUUCAUGUGUCAGGAUGAUGGGGUUGAAAGGAGGUCGCUAACGGGAACUGGAUCCUAAGUGUGUGUGUGUGUGUGUGUGUGUGUGUGUGUGUGUGUGUCUCAAGGGAGAAGAGAAGCUGUCUUCCUUUUAUUUUAUUUCUUCCAUAAGUCAUUUUGUGAAAACUCCCCUGCCCCAAACGCCUAUUCCGUGAGAACAUCAGGUAUUGUCUCUAACAUUUCAUUCAUUCAUUCAUUCAUUGGAUUGGUCGGGGAGUAAUUGGCUGAGAGCGAGAUCCACGCUCUGCAUCUGAGGAUGUAUUAGUACUUCCUGGUUUCCAUAGAAAGCCAACAUCAGGGAGAACGUUUUGAUGACACUCUAGUUUCCGUGACAACCGAGGUAAGCCAUUCUUUCCUGGCGGCAGAAACAUUUAACAAGGAUAUUUACAGACUGGAGAGAUGGAGUAACUGUAGAAACAUCGAGACUAGUCGGUGUCUGCUAUCAACGGAAGUGCCUUCAGCAGAAGCGAGUUCUAGGUGGAGGAUUUCCGCGCCUCUCAGCUCCAGUCCUACGCGCUGCUGCGUGGUGCCGAGACCAGGCUCCGACAACCCCAUUUCCCCUCUACCGUCUGACUGCCUGUGAGGGUCCGCCAGUGGCGUCUCCAGAGGGCGACAGGAAGUCUGGAAGUGAGACCGCUGGCUGUACCUUCCUCCCUGCUCCCGCUCCUCUCAGGGUCACCCCAAUAAAUGGCCCUUCGCACAACAGGGAGAGGGACAUGCGAUUUUGUGAUUUCAGUAGGGACAGUCGGCCCAUAAAGUGGGUUUCCUCCAAACUCCAAGGACCCUCUCCAUCACUACCUGCCCAGCACCAGCAGACUGGUGAACUCUCUCCUAAGAGAUAGGGAUCCCAGGUUGGGGGGGGGGGGGCCUCCUCUCAGACCCUGACGCUGUGGUGCGAGCUCAUCAGUUUUCCACAUCAUUGUUGGGAGGGGUCUUGGGUUUCAUGGGUCCCUCCCUUGACCUCCUUUAGAAGCUGCACAGUGCUGGGCAGCCCCUUUUCCUCAGAAGUCUGGGCCAAGCUCUGAGGUCUUCUCCUCCGAGGUCAUGGCUUCUCAGAACCACCAUGUCUUCCCUUGGUUUUUCCAGAGCUACACGUGCCCACUCUUCCUACCGUGGCGCCCUUCUCCUUGUCUCAUUGCUCUCUUUUUGCCUGUUUUGGUCUCCAAAUGAUUCUGUCGAGCUCUCUCUAAUUAAAAGGGUAAGAGGACACUGCCUAAUAAUCAUGUUUGUUUUUCUCUCUUUGCUCUUAAGGUCUUUCCUUUCGCUUUGGUUUCUGCAAGUUUUACUGUGCUGUGCCUAGACCUGUUUGUAUGUAUGUGUGUUUCCGUGUGUGUGUGUGUGAGAGAGAGACAGAGUCAGAGACAGAGAAAGAGACA